GGGGAUUAACAGGUGGUGUUUCCAGGGCAGGGCCUGAGCCCAUUGGCUGACGUGGCACUGCUCAUGCUGGGCCGAGACAUUCUUGGGAAGGGAGGGGCGUCCGUCAGCUGCGGUUGGACUCUGAACACAAUUAACAGACCUGGGCAGCAGGAGGAAUGUUGUCCCUCUGCCCCAGAGCCUGGGCCCUAGCCCAGACCCCAGCAACCCCGCUUUAGUUUUAAUUCCAGCCUCAGAACCUAUCCCAACCCCAACUGGGGUUUAACUAGAACUUCCAGCCUACCCCUGUCCUUGCUUCACUGCCAAACUCAACCCCCGUUUAAACCUCAGCUCUAACUCUGCACUCCGAUUCUGAACUCGGGUCCUAGACCCCAGCUUCACCUCAGCCCCAACCUUGUCCCCUAUUCCUGAGUCUAGUCCUGCAAACCCCAACCUGAAUCUCAAACCGAGCCCCCACACCCAGCACCAGCUGAUCCCCAGAGCAGCCCUAGCUUUUCCAUGCUUGGCCUUUUACACUGGCCUGGACCCCUCACAAGGCCUUUGUUCAUUCUCCAUGAAGCCUCAAAUGCCUGACUGUGGUGGGCCUGUGCUCUGGGACUGGGUCCUGCUGGGAGUAAAGACCUUUCACUGUGCAGAGCCUAGAGUAAAUAUGCUGGAAUAGUGCCAUGCAACUUCCCAGGACUCGUGCAAUCCCUGCCGUACAGUUAGAGUGAGUAGCAUUAAAUUCUGCAGGCUCUGUUCUCCUCCCUGCCUUUAUGGUUUCUGAAUUCAGAGUUCCCUUUACCUAGGAUAUUUACCACUCCUCAGCCUCAGUUUGGUCAUCUGGUCAAUUCAGAUUCUUCAUUUGUGAUGACCCCUUCCUCUAGGAAGCCCUCCCUGAUUUACAGCUUGGUUUGGGUUCUGCAUUCAAGGCACUGUGCUUCCCCCACAACUGCUUUUCCUGAAAUGUAUGUAAGUGUCCUUUAUUUACUUCCCUGUCCCUUGCCAGGUGUGUGGUCCUUGGUGAGUGCAGGAAUAGGGCCUGUUUUGCUAACUGGAUCAUCCACAGUAGCCAACACUCGAUAGACUGCACAUGGGGAAUAAUCAAGGAGCAAUUUGGUGAUUGACUGAACAAAUAGAAGUGUGAACUAACAGGUAUAAAGGUUUCAGGCAGGGAGCCUGUGGAUGGAACAGGAAAGACAAGUUUGGCUCAGGCUGGGAGGGGGGGUCAUUGAAUUCAUGGGGUGGCAUUUGGACUGUGCAGAUGACCACAGAGGGUGCUGAAGGGUAGCAGGGACAAGGCCAGGGCUCUGUUUCUAACCAGCAAGUCUGGCACCACACAAAUUGCAGGGGACACGGAUUCUUUAAGGCCUCUUCUCCUUCUGAUGUGUGUAAAAUAGGAAGAAAAACAAAAUCAAAAGUUAUUUUUCUGUUAUUCAUUUCCAAAAUGAUGGUUCCUGACCUGCUGUGUUCCCCUAUACUUGAUCUUGUGGGGAGGAAAUAUGUAAUUUAAACUUUUCUAGUGGCUUCUUUUUGAAGGAAUAGGUGAGAUUAGCACAUGAAAUAACAUAUUUUAGCUUCAAAAUAAAUUAUUUUUAUUAGUAAUUAUUUUGGUUUUUUGAGGCAGGAUCUCGCUACAUGUUCAGUGCUGGCCUUGAAUUCAGUAUGUAGCCCAGGGUGGCCUUGAACUCAGGGUAUCCUUCUGCUUCAACCGCCAAAUGCUAGGAUUACAGGCUUUAAAAUGUAUUUUAAUAUAAAACUGUUAAUGAGUCAUUUGUAAGUCUUGCAAAUUCAAUGUAUAUUUCACACACAUUGCACUUCUGUUUAGGCUAGCCACAUUUUCAGUGUCCACUCAUCACAUUCGGCUCGUGCAACGUCCUUACUGGUGUGUGUGUGUGUGUGUGUGUGUGUGUGUGUGAGGCUCUCCAUGUCCUUCCCUUGAAGAAGAGGAUAGGGCAGGCUGAUUGCCGUGAGGCCAACCAGAUGUUGGGGUCAACAGUGUGGUGCAGUAGACGUUCAAAAUGUUGGUAAAGCAUUAUAACGGUGCUCCCUCCACAGUAAAGGGUACAGGGGAGCAGAGGGCUGGCAGGGCCUGCCAGCUGUGGUUUCCUCUUAUAUGCAUCAUCAUUUAUUCACCCUGUUGGUCCCAAAGAAGGUCCAGUCCCAGGCAGACCCACUGUCCAGUGGUCCCAGGCAGAGCUGGGGCAGGGAAAGCCUGAGAUUUUAUUUCCAUUUCUCCUUCUCUGGGGAGUUUGAAAUGGGAAACAGUUUAAAAGCUUUCCUAGUUGGAACACUGGCUUGACAAGCCUUGGUUCUGGUUCUAUUUCUUACCAGAUGACCUGUAGUUCAGUGGAAUGCAGGUUCUGUGCAGGGCUGUUUAACUGUCUCCAAAGCGGAGACAGUCACAGAGGCAGCUUGGAUGAGCAGGGAUAGAGGUCAGGGGAGGAGGCAGCCACCGGCACCCUGGGGAAGGUGCAUUUGACUCCCCUUCAGAUGCAUUCACAGGUGGUGGGGAGAGUCCAGAGGGGAGGACAGAGAGCCUGGGACCCAUUUCCCUGCUUCUGCUUUGCUCCUACCUCAGACUAUGCUCAGGCAGAAAGCUGGAGUAACAUUACAAAGAAUAAACAAAUGGGCUCACAUCAAAUUAAAAAGCUUUCUGCAUGGCAAAGAAAACCACCAGCUGGGAUCAAGAGCAUGGCAUUAUAGAUGAAGAGACAACUUAUAGAAUGGAAAACAAUUAUUUGCCAGCUACUCCUCAGACAGAGGAAUAAUACCUAGAAUAAAGAACUAAGACAUAUUAGAUCCCCACCCCAAUUUAAAGACCCAGCCCCCAAAUGGGCCUAUCUGAAAUGAAUAGACACUUCUCAGAUGAAGAAGUACAAAUGGCCAAUAAUGGGCCGGGGAUUUAGCUCAGUGGCAUAAGCACCUGCCCGGCAAGUGUGAGGUUGUACAUUCAAUCCCUGGUACCAAAACAAAACCAAACCAAAAAACCCAAAAAACCCCCCAACAACCCCCACCCAAACAAAUGGCCAAUAAAUGCAGAAGAGAUGUUCAACAUCACUUUCUAUUUAAGCAAUGCAAAUUAAAAUGACACUGAGAUUCCACCUCACUCCCGAAAGAAUGGCUGCCAUCAAGAAAUCAUGUUUUGCUCGUCAAUCUGUGUUUACUCACUGAGCAGUCAAGCAAACUUGUUGACCUGCUGGCCAGAGAGCCAGGUUUUGCUAUGGGAGGGCUCUCUGUGGCCUGGACUUCUGCCUCCUCCUCCUUACCAGCUGGACAGCAGCCAGGUUUAGGUAGGCCCAGACUAGCUUCGCCAAGAGUUUCCGGCUCCUUUUCUCUCUGCCUUAGUCUCUGGGGUCACAUCUCAUAACCUACCACCUUGUCUGUGGAAUUGUGCUUGGAUGCCUCUCCAGUGCAGCACAUAAGAGCAGGGAUUUGGAAGCUUUCAGGGAAGGAAGUCGAAUUCCAGCAAUGGUGUGAAAUCCCGGCACUUGCUCUUGCUCUUGGAUCUGGUCUCUGAGGCGCUGGAUUUCUAGGCGUUGCAUUUCAAUGAUUCUCCCAGUUUCUUCUUGCUCAUUCAGUCUCAUGAUGACAGUGGCACCGGGCAUGUCUCUGCUGGACACUGUAAUAGACAGAGCAGGACAAAUAUGACCUGUUCACUGACCUGCUGCAGCAUCCUCUCUCCCCGCUCCCCAAACAGUCUUAGAAUGUCUACUGUGAGAAGAUGUUCAAUCUCAAGUGUUAGGGACAGAGAGUCUGAAUUCUGAGCUGCAGCUAACCCUGAGGAUUUCAGCCAGGGACUGCUGGACCUGAGAAGGUGCGGGAAGGUCCUUACAGGUCUUUUGGAGAGCAGGUAUGUGGCAUGGAGAGGCUCCCAGAAGGCCAUGGGUGGAUGUGGCCUCAUACGGGAGGAAGCCAAAAGGAGACUGCUUAUGGCUGCUACUGGUCCCUUGAUUCAGUGCCCCUCUCCCUGGUAGUGACAUUACCUGUCUCUUCUUGUGGUUGGAUUUUCUUGGACAGUUUCAGAGCUGCUUCAAGAUCAUAGACUUGAGAGCGAGUGAACUUCAGCUCUCUGCGGAGCUCAUUAAUUUCCUUGAUCAGAGAGACAUUUUCCUUCAGAAAAGGAGGAAAGAGAGUAUGAAUGAGGUCUAGCUAUGUUGCCCACAUGGUCCCUGAACUCUUCGUCUUCCUGCCUUAGCCUCCAAAGCAGCUGGGGUUCCAGCUAUGUGCCAUAGCACCAUCUUUAUCCUGUUCGCUGCUCAGCUUCUCAAGAUACCAGUGAACUUCGUUUACUUCUAGGUGGACUCAGCACCAUUUCCAUCCAGCCUAGCUCUUUCAAAUAAAUGACGGUUCCCUGAACACUUUUUAUGUGACUUUAAUGUGUCUUAACACCGUAAUAACCGUGUUCCUACAAUGCAUCAGACAUUUUGUAUACAUUACCUCAUUUCAUCCUUCAAGCCCUCUGGAGUGGUUCCUAUCAGAUUCCUUUCGUAUGAGGAGGUGAGGCAGCAUAUAAAUGGUGGAGACUCCCUCCUCCUCUGACUCCUGCCUUCCAAGCUUUACUUUUGCACCCCAUUUACCUUACCUCAGUUCCAAUAACUCAUAUUAUAGUGACCAAAGACACCACCAAAAGUACAAGUCGGGCUCCCUAAAAGUAGUUUUUCAGGGUCUUCUGUGUUCUGAAGAAUACAGAAAUUACAAUGAAGCCUACUGCAUAUGCCUUGGGUAGCUUUGUGAGUUAAAAAUGUGAACACAACCGACUCACUGAACCUUUUGUCCAUGUCUGUUCCCCGUUCAACACGGCCUGCAAAAAUCUCCCAGCCCUCCAGACUCCCACCCAGCCAGUCAGCAGCAGGAAAAAUCUGACCUGAGGUCCAUCAAGAGCUGAGACUGAAAAUGUGAGAGAAACUGGCUGGGGGUGGGGUGGGGGGAAUGCUAAGCUUCAUUUAUAUAGAGAUUUCUAUGUUUAGCUGAAUAGCAGGCCUUUGGAAACGCCUGCUGUCCCUGGCAGGUCUUUCAGACAUCUAUGUUGCAUAGAGAGAAAAGGGAAUGUCGGUAGCACCCCCUGCUGCCUGGUACUGAGCUGAUGCUUUUAAGAAGGGAGUGCCUCACAGAGUGGAAAAAUCAGGCAACAGAUGCAUUGUGUGAACUUGGAAGCUUUGCAUUGGUGGGGUCUUUCUGGAACCCACAGUAAGUGGGACAGCCAUCUGUCCAAAUGCACGAACAAGUUCCAUCCUGGAAUCCUCCUCCACUCUUUUUCCACCUUUUCCCCAUGUCUAACCUGGCAUUUCUGUUUGUCAUCGCACUCUUGAAAUACCUUUUGACAUCAGUGUUCCUCUUUCCAAGACGCUCUCAUUUACUCCAUCUCCUAACUGGCUCCCCUGCCACCUGUCUCUUUCUCCACAGCCUGUCCAUUCUUCCCACUCCGUUUACGAGACGAAUAUAAACACGCCUGCCUGUUUAAGAGGCCUCAGAAGUGUCUGUGUUCAGGGUGAACUUUAUGCUUCCUGGCAUGAUGUGAAAAGCCCUUUCCAGUGUGACCCUAGGAUACCUACUCUUCUAUGGGCUCUUUUUUUCUGUCCCAGACGCUCUGGAACAAACUAAGGUUUGUGGCCUUAUGAGUCUGUGGCCACCCCCUCCCAAAACCAAGAAAACCUCUCCUCCGCUUUUUCUCAGCUAUUCACUCUGCCUAGAAGGCUCGUCUCCCAGCUGGUCCUGAAGCGCCACACUGCGUUCAGUUCAACUACCAUUUCCUCAGAAACUUUCCAUGGGUCCUCAAGGUAAGGAGUUAGCUCUUGGAGAAGCCCAAGAAUUUAUCCAGAGCUUCCUGGUCAAACUGUACUGGAAGUAGCAUAAGCUGCAUCUACCCAGAAGCAGGGCCACUGUCUUCCACAGUCUGGGACCAACACUUGCUUUGAACCCUGGUUGGCUUGCAGAGGGAAGACUCCUCAGGCCUGUGUGUUGGUGGCAGGGUACCAAUAAGAGCUGAGCCAUGCACCAGCUUACAGCUGCACCUCUGUCCCACUGCCCAGUUUGCUGCCCUCAAGAGGGGCUUCUCUAUGCUCCAGGACCUCGAGGCCCUUAGCCAUAGCUUUGUGUGGGGCUGCUGCGCUGCCAAAGGUCCUAUCAAAUGGAUCCACUCUUCUUUCUGGACCUCUGACUGCUUUUUGUGGCCCCGAGUAGGGUGAUGGUCUGAUGGAGAGGGUUGAGGCUGGUUGUACAGUGGCAUGAAAUCAGCCAUGGAUUCCAGUGUGCUCUGCCCAGCUGUGUCAGGGAUGCCAACCUAGGAUCUGCUAUCAACCAAAGUGCAACCUGUCCUAACAUUUUAAUUAGGGCAUUAAAGAAAUGUAAAUGUAAAAACAUACAUGCUUUAUAAAUGUGAUUCUGAUUUUCUCCUCUGAUAUUAACUCACAGUAAUUACUUCAGAUGAUACUGACAUUCAAGCAGAGAUCUGGUAGGAACA